UGUGUGAGGAACAUGAAGCUCUGAGGAUGCAGGAACAGAGACCAGACUCUCCUGGACCCAGCUGUGUGUCCAUGAAGAGUGAUCGGUCUAAACUUCUUCCAAUCUUCUUUAAAGAUGGACGUCCGGCUGAUGGAAGGAUGCAGGAACAGAGACCAGACUCUCCUGGACCCAGCUGU